GGAUUAGUACGUCGGUCGUGCCUUAGGUACGUACUGGUGUUACCGGUUCCUACCUUCUGACAAACCAUCAUGUCAUAAUUUGGUGUGGCGGGGAAUCAGGACUGUUACUUUGAAAAAAUUAGAGUGUUUAAAGCAGGCUCGCGCUUGAAUACAUUAGCAUGGAAUAAUGAAAUAGGACGUUGACCCUAUCUUGUUGGUUUCUAGGAUUGACGUAAUGAUUAAUAG
rnacentral:rRNA from 1 species